GGAAGCGCAGGGUCACGUGAUUUUGUCACCGUUUCGAAUUGGAAGUGGGAGAGUCAGGAGAGAGUGAAGUCAUUGGUUCUUGCUGUUUCCCAAACUCUGGCCUGGUCUUCCAGGUGUUUUAGACUUUAGCUCCCAGAAACCCUAACCAUUGGGCAAGGCAGCUGAGGCUUCAGGGAGUUGAUGCCCAAAACCUUUAAGAGGACUAAGGGCCCUUCCACACAGCCCUAUAUCCCAGAUCUUCAGAAGAUAAAGACCAACAAGCCACUCUAAACACCUUUGCAGAAGCAUACCUGAGAGAAGCUCACUCAACCUCUCACUGAACCUCGAGAAAACCAAAAUGCUCUUCCAACAGGCACCAGCCAAUCCCUCUGCAAUACCAGGAAUACAGCUUAAUGGUGGAACACUAGAAAAUGUCAACAAUUUCCCCUACCUUGGCAGCCACCUCUGAACAAAAGUAACAUUGACACUGAAAUAAAACACUGUCUGUGCUCUGCGAGUGCAGCAUUCUUCCAAAUGAAGCAGAGUGUUUGAGGACCAGGACAUCUGUAGAGAUAUCAAGGUGCUUGUCCUCCCAACCCUGCUAUACGCCUGCGAAAUGUGGACUGUCUACAAACGUCACACUCAACUCCUGGAAAGAUUCCAUCAGCAUUGCCUCCAAAAAAUCUUGAAAAUCUCUUGGGAAAACAGAUGGACAAAUGUCAGUAUGCUGGAAGAAGCAAAGAUCGCAGCAUUGAAGCGAUGCUCCUACACCAUCAACUCUGCUGGACUGCCCACGUCUGAAUGCCCGAUCACCAUCUCCCAAAGCAGUUACUAUACUCCCAACUCAGGAAUGGAAAACAGAAUGUUGGUGGACAAGAAAAGAGAUUUAAAGAUGGGCUUAAAGCCAAACUUAAAAACUGUGGCAUAGACACUAAGAACUGGGAAGCCCUGGCCCCUGAGCGCUCUAACUGGAGGUCAGCUGUGACCAGCAGUGCUGCAGAAUUCGAAGAGGAUCCUGAGUUCUCGUGCUUUGGAGUAAAUUUGCUUACUUGGAAGAAUUUUCCUUUUUUAUUACGACAUCUGAAAUUGAGAGAGCUGGGAAUCUCAAUAGAUUCCUCUUCUGCUACCAUCUUAUUAUCACACCCCUCCACUUGA
rnacentral:lncRNA from 1 species